AUAUUGCACAAUGGGGGAAACCCUGAUGCAGCGAUGCCGCGUGAAGGAAGAAGUAUCUCGGUAUGUAAACUUCUAUCAGCAGGGAAGAAAAUGACGGUACCUGACUAAGAAGCCCCGGCCAACUACGUGCCAGCAGCCGCGGUAAUACGUAGGGGGCAAGCGUUAUCCGGAUUUACUGGGUGUAAAGGGAGCGUAGACGGGAGUGCAAGUCUGGAGUGAAAGGCAGGGGCUCAACCCCUGGACUGCUUUGGAAACUGUAGUCCUAGAGUGCCGGAGAGGUAAGCGGAAUUCCUAGUGUAGCGGUGAAAUGCGUAGAUAUUAGGAGGAACACCAGUGGCGAAGGCGGCUUACUGGACGGUAACUGACGUUGAGGCUCGAAAGCGUGGGGAGCAAACAG
rnacentral:rRNA from 1 species